GAUGAACGCUAGCGGCAGGCCUAACACAUGCAAGUCGAGGGAGAAGCCCUUUCGGGGGCAGAAACCGGCGCACGGGUGCGUAACGCGUAUGCAACCUACCUUUCACAGGGGGAUAGCCCGAAGAAAUUUGGAUUAAUACCCCAUAAUAUUAUUGGAUGGCAUCAUUUGAUAAUUAAAACUGCGGUGGUGAAAGAUGGGCAUGCGUCCUAUUAGCUAGUUGGAGUGGUAACGGCACCCCAAGGCUACGAUAGGUAGGGGUCCUGAGAGGGAGAUCCCCCACACUGGUACUGAGACAGGGACCAGACUCCUACGGGAGGCAGCAGUGAGGAAUAUUGGCCAAUGGUCGGAAGACUGAACCAGCCAUGCCGCGUGCAGGAAGAAUGCCUUAUGGGUUGUAAACUGCUUUUAUAUGGGAAGAAUAAGGCGUACGUGUACGUUGAUGACGGUACCAUAUGAAUAAGCAUCGGCUAACUCCGUG
rnacentral:rRNA from 1 species